UGGGGUAUCUUCCGCAAUGGACGAAAGUCUGACGGAGCAACGCCGCGUGAGUGAUGACGGCCUUCGGGUUGUAAAGCUCUGUUAAUCGGGACGAAUGGUUCUUGUGCAAAUAGUGCGAGGAUUUGACGGUACCGGAAUAGAAAGCCACGGCUAACUACGUGCCAGCAGCCGCGGUAAUACGUAGGUGGCAAGCGGUGUCCGGAAUUAUUGGGCGUAAAGCGCGCGCAGGCGGAGUGGUCAGUCUGUCUUAAAAGUUCGGGGCUUAACCCCGUGAUGGGAUGGAAACUGCCAAUCUAGACUAUCGGAGAGGAAAGUGGAAUUCCUAGUGUAGCGGUGAAAUGCGUAGAUAUUAGGAAGAACACCAGUGGCGAAGGCGACUUUCUGGACGAAAACUGACGCUGAGGCGCGAAAGCCAGGGGAGCGAACGGG
rnacentral:rRNA from 1 species